UCUAAACGAUCUUUUGUAAAACAUAAGUCAAUUAAUCAAACUCGAUUUCUAUAAACCAAAACCCCUCAGAAAUUAAACCCAAUUCACUUGCCCAAAUUUCGCUUUAAACCCUAGAAAUGUGAAAAAAGUGAUUUUCUCUAAUCUGAAAUGAGUUUACCUCAUUGUUAUUGAUUUGUGAAUCAAGUUUCUUUUGGAUAGUUAAAUAUCGACCUCAACCAAAAGUCUCAGGUCUGAAAUUUAUCUAUGUCAAUCUUAUGAAGAAGUUAAGUCAACAAUUUGGGUUUUAUUUACUUGGUGAUUUUCAAGUUGAUGGCGGCUGUGUAAAUGAAGGAGGUUAACUCUGUUGAUUUGGUGGUGAAAUUUGGUGGUGGCUGGUAAGUGUUGUUAAAUUAUUUGUUUCACCUGUAUUUGUUGAUGGGGGCUGUGCAAGGAAGAGUCUUUAUACCCUGGGACAUUAAAUUUUUCUUGUAAGGAUUUUCAAUUACCUUGGGUGAUGGCACUGGAUCUCCUAGGUUCUUGCUUUGAUGCCUCUCAUUCCAUUUAUCUCUGCUUGCAUAUAUGUGAUGUUAGCUUAUAUCUCUACUAGAGAGAGAGUGUUCAAAUAUGCUGCUCAAGCCGCUCUCCACCACUUGGGAAUGUUUUUACAAGGUAAACAGGCAGAUGCACCUCAGAUAGUCCUUCAGGUACUCAACAUUGUUCUGCGCGAGCUUCCAACUUCUAGGUACAAGUCCCAUAUUAUUGCGUUCUGGCUUUCUAUUUUUUUUAUAUCAAAAUUUUGAGAUUUAUGUUGAUUCCAUUGGUUAUAAUUGGUAUGCUCCUGUUGGUCAUUCAUUUUAUUCCCCGGGAGAAGACAGUCACUUGGUGAAGGCUUGGAAAGUUGGCGCUGUUUUUACCCGAGAGAGCCUGUGGAUCGGAAAGGGAGCUUGUUAUUUGUCAUAGUUUGAUGGAUUCGCUUUCUUACUGGGAUGUAAAGUAGCGACUGUACUUUUAGAAUGGGAAGGAAGUGAACCGGAUUCAGGUUACGGGGGCUAUGAAACGUUUACCAUUUUAUGUUUGUCUGCUUUCCUCAUUGUUAUACAUAUGUUGGAGUUAAUAACUGUGAUUCUCCGGUGAUCGAAAUUCAGUUGUAUUUUAAUUUUGUUAUUAGAUCGCCUGUAUCAGGGAAGAACUCAAUGUGAAGGUACCAUAUCAGGAGGGUUGUUGUAGAGACAGUAGCAGGAUGUGGUAGUCAUAUAUCUGUAAAGAAUUGGUUUUAGAGUGUGCAAAGCGUGACGGAUGCUUUCUAAGUUGUAUGCUAAUGGGGAAGUUCACUUAUCUAGUUUUCUGGUUUCUUUUGCAACAUUUGUGCAUAAAACUUAUCGUGUCUUUGUUAAUAAUGUUCUCUUGUUGCCAACUCAUCAGGCUGGUUUGCUUUUCCCCUCUCACGUAUAUUUGGUCACUACCCCUCACAGGUCUAUUAGGUUGCUACAUUAAGCUUUUGAGGAGAUAGGGAGUUCCUUGUUCUUUGACCUAGUUUAGUUUGCUUCUUUUAAACUGUUGUGAACCUGUUACGAUCAUUUAGGUCAGGGUGACCUUUGAAUUGUUCAGUAUCUUUUAGGACCAUUGGUUUGUCAUUAACUUCUGAGUUUUUAUGUAGAUACCUGAGGUUUAUUUCCUCCACCGUCCUGACCAGAUAAUCCCUGUUAGAAUUCUCUACUUCUUUGCUUUGAAAAGAAAUUUUGGUUACAGUUUGUCUUUUGUCUCUUUUUGAGUUCCUCCCCUCAGUAUCGUGAAAAAGUUAAUGUUUCUGUGGUUUAUUUGCUGUCAGGGUGCUUGCCAUCUCGUAGAUUGGUGGAGGAUGCGCCUGAUUUAAUUGGCUGUGGAGAUUUGACCAGUCCGAUGGGUGGUUUUGUAUCUGAGUCUCUAGUUCUAUUUUUUCAACUAAUCUAAUUUAAAUAUUUGCCUUACCUGUAACAUAUUAUAUUGUGCUUUGGAUUUCAGGAGAUCCCGUGGAUUUGGCUAUUCGUUUGGUAUAACUAAAUUUUACGAGGACCAUAAGGUGAAAAAUAUAAUAUAUAAAAACAAAUCUAAACCAGAAAAAUGUUCUCUCUCCCCGUUCCUCAGAAAUCCAGAAAUGAAAUUUUAUCUUGGUUUCAAAAAAAAAUGAAUAAUGGAGAUGAGGACUUCACUCGAUUCGUUUUAGCUUCUUGGAUUAGCAUUAAUCGGCAAAAGUAUUAGCGAGGAUUGGGUUCUUUGGAUGAUAGUGAGAUGUUUGGGUCCUAGGUAUUUAUCAAAGAAGAAUUUUACGAUUAAGCCUGUCACCCAUCAGCUGCGUUGAUGCAGCUGGGAUUCAACUAUACCAUACAUUUUGUCGCUGGAACGUGUACCAAAAAUGUUUAUCCAGAUGUCUUAACUUAUGUGACAGAAUUGUUGAAAUAUUAGCUUUUGAAUGAGAAAAAAAUAUGAUUCGUUUUACUGAUGUGUUGAAAACGCUGAAAACAGAAAACACUAGAAAACUAGUUUGGUAGGCAAGUUUUUUGAAAACGUUUUCAGGUGUUUUCCGUUUUAGAAAACGAGAAAAAUGAAAACGAUAAUUUAUCGUUUUCACUGUUUUUUUUUUUUUUUUUCUGUCUUUCCUAUUUUUGCUUUCUGCUUAUGAAGAAAAGAAAAGAAGAAGAACUACAGUGGACGAAUGAAUGAGCAGAAAGCCAUCUCCAAUUGGUUCAACGGAAGUCUUCAAUUACAAAACUCAUUUGCUCAAACAUAUUGGUCAGAUAGGUAACCUCGAUUUUUUGGUCUUCAAACUUUGAAAGAGUUACUACCUCUAGUGAUUACUUUCUUUGUAAUAUCCUUGUAAAUGCAAAAUUUGAAUCCCGUGACAGUAAACAUGUUCAAACUUUAUCUUUCGGGUUUGGGAUUCAUUUUCAGUUACAUGGCUAAUGAAUUUUAACUCAAAACCUGGUAAUCUAGUAGAUGCCAGCAAAGCGUUUGAUGAAAUGCAUGAA